CUUUCCCGUAGGAGAACCUGCGGAAGGAUCAUUA
rnacentral:rRNA from 1 species